GGAGAGCUGGCCGAGUGGCUGAAGGCGCACGCCUGGAAAGUGUGUAUAGGUUAAUCCCUAUCGAGGGUUCGAAUCCCUCGCUCUCCGCCA
rnacentral:tRNA from 1 species